UACGUGUGCCAGGAGGUGAAAGGAGCCC
rnacentral:piRNA from 1 species